rnacentral:lncRNA from 1 species
CUAGGGAAGAGUUUGCUGAUGGGUUAGAGAUGGGUUGGCUGGAAAUGUUUUAAAAUGUGUUUGAUUUUCUGGAAUUGCCUUCCACAGACCAAUUUCUUCUUCAUGGCAUCUCAUGUGAGAAUUACUCAUUAGAGUCACAACAUGAUUCCCUGAAUGGCUGACUCAUGAAUCCUUCUCAUGUCUCAAAUUGCCAUGUAUACAGCAGAUCAGAUUUUGCUGAUGUGAUUGACUGCACCUGAAGUUACAGCUACUUGGCCCAUUACAAGAAGAAAUGAAUCGACUCAAUUAAAUUACAGAGAUGUUAUUCCCAAGCUACUGACUUUGCUCAAGGGACGAGCAACAGAAGAGGAAAAUGCAAGGAAUGUCUCAAAAAAUUCUCAGAAUCUACAGUUUAUCUGGCUGCAUUUCACAAGAAUCUUCACUGCUACUGGAUUUAGAGGAGAUUUUGAAGGACAGAUUUAAAGAAAAGAAAGCAAGCUGCAAACAAAGACCAUGACAGCCUUUCCUUCUGAUGUCUGUACAACAUAUUGGUGGAACUGUCAUUUGAUGCUACAGUAGUAAAUAACUGAUUUUGCCGUAUGCUUAGAAGAUUUCAAAG